rnacentral:rRNA from 1 species
GAUGAACGCUGGCGGCGUGCCUAACACAUGCAAGUUGAGCGAUCUUCUUCGGAAGAGAGCGGCGGACGGGUGAGUAACGCGUGGGUAACCUACCCUGUACACACGGAUAACAUACCGAAAGGUAUGCUAAUACGAGGUAAUAUGUUUCAUUCGCAUUGUUUAGAAACAUACAAAGCCUCCGGGCGGUAUAGGAUCGGACCCGCGUUCUGAUUAGCUAGGUUGGUGAGGUAACGGCUCACCGAAGGCGACGAUCAGUAGCCGACCUGAGAGGGUGAUCGGCCACAUUGGAACUGAGACACGGGUACCAAACUCCUACGGGAGGCAGCAGGUGGGGAAUAUUGCACAA